GUGGCAAGGAGAAGGAGUUGUGGAAGACAAAGGAGAGGAAAACCAAGAGCGGUGGUCUCUGAUGAGAUAAGGACCACAAUUAUUGACCAUGUUGUAAACCAUGGUCUCUCUUUGAGAGAGGCUUAAGGGUGCAACCAAAUCUGCAGCGUUCAACAGUUUCAUCAAUAGUACGGAUUUUCCGGCAACACAACAGGAUACAAAGGUUGCCUUCCACAGGAGGGAGAGGUAGAAUAUUGUCAGAUGUGCAAGAAAUUGCCAUAGUUGAAAUGGUAAUUGGCAACAAUGCAAUAAAACAGCGGGAAAUUCAGGACAGAGUGCUGGCAGACGAUAUCACUUUUGGAAAUGUGAAUUCGGUCAGCACAACGACAAUUGCCAGAGUCCUGGAGAAACAUAAAAUAAGGACAAAGCAGUUGUACAUUGUACCAUUCGAGAGAAACUGAACGUGUGAAAGAACUCCGUUAUCAAUAUGUCCAGAGAGUAAUGCAGCUGGAAGCCAGGGAAACUGCACAUACACUCAUCUUUGUGGAUGAAGCUGGAUUCUACCUGGCAAAGACGCACCGCAGGGGAAGAAAUGUGACUGGCCAGAGAGCUACUGUGGAUGUCCUAGGGCAGAGAGGAGCUAACAUCAAGAUGUGUGCAGCUCUGUCCAAUGAUGGCUUUCUGUUACACAAACCACUCAUUGGCCCCUACAAUACGGAGAGGCUCAUGUCUUUCAUGCCUUGCGCCAGCGGUGGAGAGAGGAGCAAGAAACUCUCCUAUCUUUGUGUGGGAUAAUGUGGCAUUCCACCACUUUGCUGCAGUUACAGACUGGUUCACUGCACAUCCCAGGAUGUCAGGACUGUUCCUGCCUCUAUACUCCCCCUUCCUAAACCCCCUAGAGGAGUUUUUCUCUGCAUGGAGGUGGAAGGUGUAGGACCACCAUCCGCAUGACCAGAUGACCUUACUGGAUGCCAUGAAUGCGGGAUGUGGAGACACUUCUGCUGAAGACUGCCAGGGUUGGAUCAGACAUUCCAGAAGAUACUUUCCAAGAUGCAUCGCCAGGGAAGACAUAAGAUGUGAUGUUGAUGAGAACUUGUGGCCAAAUGCAGCAGAGAGGGAGGACUAGCACCCUCAAGUACUGUACAUUAUGAGUUUUUGAGGUGUUAUUUUUAUUACUGUUUGCAGCCCUGGAAUUCCAGAAAUUUGUGUGGGGGUUGUUUCAUCUUUCUCAAAUUUUUCAGUUUACAAUACUAUCCACAGAUAGAACAAAGGAUAUUGAAGCAAAUUGCUGCUUUUCUGAUGCAUUCUCGUUACAUAUACUUUAGUACCAUCAAAGUAUGAAAAUAUGUUAUUGUAUAAUGAGAACCUAAAGAAAUUCUUUUAUUCAGUGUGUAUUAGUGAGACUCUAAAUGAGAAUUGUUGCCAGUGUUUUGGUUGAACGAGUCUAUUGAGACUUGUACGAAGUGUUUUAGUGGUUUGAGUGACUUUUGGAGGUCAGAUUAACUGUUUGGCCAAGAUGCAUGUUGGUAAUGCAGACUGUGUAUAGAGUUUUGAAAAAGUGGCUUCAGUUGUGACCAUUGUGUCUUUCAUUGCCCCAAAAAAGUAGGCCAAUGGGAAAUCAAACUAAAGUCUUAUUAGUCAAUUAAAAUAGAACUCAUGAGAGAAGUAAAUGUAAAGUAUCUGGGCUUCUCCCUUUUGCUUCAGACUCCACUCUGUCACUUCAUAAAACAGUAUCUUUUAUGGUCAUGUACUUUAAGAGUGGGCAUCCUGGGAAUGUUAGUGUAUCAGGGAAACAACAAUAUCAAAAUGAUAACUUUUCUAUAUCUGUGGCAAUUAACCAAGGAAUUCUCUCCCAUACUCAUUCUACAAACUCUGGUCUGAUUGGCAUAAUUGGAUAAAACAUGUAUCUAUUAAAUUUGUCAGAUUAUAAUCUUGGAGAAAAAGGUCAUCUUCAUCGUAUGUAUGGUAUGUACCACAUCGAUCCAGUCCUCCACUGUAGGUGCCUCUGUCUUUAGCCAUUUCUUAACUACCAUUAUCCUGAAUAUAUAUUUAUCUCCAAUCCAAAACCUCUAAUGUAAGUGGGACUCUUUAAUAAUGUGUUGCAUUCUUUUAAAUUUUCCACUCUCUUGUAUACUUUCAAUAUUAAUU